UAAAUUAGAGUAAAAAUUAUGCGCGGGCAAAAUUCCCCUCUUCCCUCGCCUUUUCCUUCUCCAAAGGCACGAUUUUCCUUAUCCACAAUUCUUUGUCCAACUCCCAUUUUUCAUCGUGCAAAAGUGCAAUUGGGAGAAUGAAGGCUCAUACUUCGUCAUACGCUUUCAUUUCCUGCUAUAAAAUUUAUAUCUAGUUCAGUAUGUUGUUCGAUCUAUAUUUUCUUACAUGUAUUAGGGUAGUCGGUGUUACCCUCUUCGUUAUAAACCUCCAAAGUAGCCCUAUAACAUUUUUCUACUUCACCUCUACCAUAUCAACCCUCUCCGUCUCCCUCUGAAUCGAUUUGCUUUAUGUAGCUAGGGUUUUGCACUUUUCGAGUAUUUGUUCUAUGUUGUUUGAGAUUUCGUCUUCUAACGAAGCUAUGUGGAGGGGAAACGGACAAGAUAUGUGGAACAAUAGUAACAUAGCACCACCGGGUACUAGCGGAGAAGGACCACAACCGCUGCCGUCGUCAAUGAUGCGGCCACCUCCGGGACCUCCGCCGCAGUCUAUGAUGCAUCCGCCACCUGGUACUAGUUCACGACCGCCGUCUAUGAUGCCUCCGGGUACAAGUGUUGGAGGAGCUAGUGGUUCUAGACCACCUCUACCGCCGCUGUCGUAUACUAUUUUGCCUACUGAGGCUCAGCUUGAAGAGAAAGCGAGGAAAUGGAUGCAGCUUAACUCUAAUCGGUAUAGUGAUAAACGGAAGUUCGGAUUCGUUGAAACGCAGAAGGAAGAUAUGCCGCCGGAACAUGUCCGCAAGAUUAUUAGGUACCUAACAAGCAAUCGACUUACUGGACCAAUUCAAGAUUGGAUCAGAAAUAGAAAUACCAAAUAGCAUUUGCUUGAAUAAGUACAAAAAGAGAUGCUUCAUGGUUUCGGGAUAGCUGUCACGUAGCAAGCAAGUUGUAUUUUGGCAUAAUCCUAUAUGAGCUAGCUUUACUUCCCUAUCCGUUACCCAUGUAACCGGGAAAAGAAGAUGGACAGUUGGCACAUUCUAAUGAGGAUGAGAGCACCCAAAAAAUGUUCUUGUGAUCCUGUCGCGCCGCUGGAAUUGUCUCAUUCUUUGCAUGCCUUUCACCGGGUUUCUCCAUCUGAUGAACUGAACGUGGAAGGUUUCCAUACAUUUUGUGGAGGGUUCUGGAAUUACUUCAGCAUGGGGAUAGAUGCACAAGUAUCUUAUGUAUUUCACUCGGAGAGAAAAAUGAACCCUGACAAAUUCAAAAACCAACUUGUCAAUCAGCCUGGUUGGAGUGCUGAUUAUUUUCAUGAAAAUUUGAUUGCUUCCCAUCAUGUAAAUGAAGUACAAGAUCAGUUGCACUACUACUAAACCCAAGAUAACACCUGUUGCAGUGCCAAUAAAUUGGGCCAUUCCUAGCAGAGCAUAGAUAAACCAGCAGAAGGAGGACACGACAACAGCAAAUGACAGGAAAAAUACCAUGUACUCCACACUCUUUUUCCUGAUUACUAAUCUAAUGUUAGACCGAGGAGAUACAUACAUAACGAUGGAGAAGAUGAUGGAAGCAACAAAAAUAUUGUGGCGGAGUUGAACUGCCACCAAUUAUUAUUUUUUAAGUACUAAUUUCAUAUUGUAGUGGUUGAAAACUUCUUCAUAAUUUUCUAAGAAAACAAUUAGUAUUUUAUUGUGGGAAUUAUAGAACACCACAAUAUUUUUUUUGUGACAUUGUGAUCAUAUUGCGGGGUUUUAUAAACUCCUGCAGUAUUUUUUUUUUGAAACAUUCAUAUUAUAUUGCGAGAGUUUUAAAUUGUCACUUAUUAACUUUAAAAA